CAAAGCAGUGAUGCAGAGCAAAUCCCCAAAAGCAGUCUUAGUUCGGAUUGUAGGCUGCAACUCGCCUACAUGAAGUCGGAAUUGCUAGUAAUCGCGGAUCAACAUGCCGCGGUGAAUACGUUCCCGGGCCUUGUACACACCGCCCGUCACACCAUGGGAGUCGGUAACACCCGAAGCCUGUAGUCUAACCGCAAGGAGGACGCAGUCGAAGGUGGGAUUGAUGACUGGGGUGAAGUCGUAACAAGGUACC
rnacentral:rRNA from 1 species